UUCGCCUGUCGAGAGGAGGGGUUGGGGGAAAGGGAGGAAGUUUCUCCGUUUCUGAUUAUGCGCAGAGUUUCCUUGUACCGAGCUUAUGUUCUCCACCCACUACUUAGUAAGAACUCCUUAACAACUUAAAGCUUUAUCCCUCUGAGUACCAGAAAAGUGAUUUGAGUAGUUAUUGAGCAGGGAGAAUAAACUGCUUGCUCCGGGCAGGGAGGAAGCUUAUGGAAAUGAUAUUAGACCUUCAGCAAAGUGCACAGCUGCAUCAUACAGAAGCUGAGACUCAAAUUGACAGGCAAAUAAGCCAGAUCACGGAAGGGGCCUCUGUGUGGCAGCUCUGAGCUCCCAAGGGUUGGACAACUAGGCAAAAAGUGCACUGGAACAGGGCAGAAAAUAGCACACUAACUUCAGGCAACUGUUGCAUUUUCAUGGCCUGGAAAGUAACAUUUUCUGUAGAUGUCAGCUUCUUUCUGGUGUGAUGCUCCAUUCUUCUGGUGACGUCACAUGCAGCACUGAGUAAUAUUGGUAAAAUGGAAGAGGUCUCUUAGAAUAAGGUGUCCAUCUGCAGUUCAGUUUUGCAGCGGAAUCAUUUGUAUCACUUCACUAACUGGUAAGUCCUGAGAUCAUUAUUUAAUGUUUGUAUUACCAUGUCACCACCAACAAAUUCAGGUACUUCCUUUCCUGGCAUGGAGAUGGGUAAGACUCUCAUCUCCUCUGACAUGAUUCCCACAGCACGUAGUCAUAGUGCUGGCAGGGUGUUGGGACCACAGUGGAGGCACAGUCAGGCCUGUGAUGGCUGGCAGUCAUGAACCUGGCCUGGCUAGGAUGGUGCUGCAGGGCUCUGCAGCUUUUUCUAGUUGGAACAUAACUCUACACCAGCAGCACCAGAAAUGGGUCUACCAUCUUAGUGCUGUUAAAUUGGAUAGGAGUUUUGUCAUGGUCUUCUUCACUCAGAAGAAAAUUUCACCUUAAGUUUCUAAGAAAUAUUUAGUGGCUAUCUUCUUGCUUGUGGGAAGGCUGACGUUGUCUUGAUGUGAUUCUAAAUAUUUUUCC